rnacentral:rRNA from 1 species
GAUGAACGCUAGCUACAGGCUUAACACAUGCAGGUCGAGGGGUAACGAGAGGAAAGCUUGCUUUCCUUGUCGACGACCGGCGCACGGGUGAGUAGCGCGUAUCCAACCUGCCCCCAACUAGGGAAUAACCUUGCGAAAGUAAGACUAAUACCCUAUAAUUUCCUCAGAUGUCAUCUGACGAGGAAUAAAGAUUUAUCGGUUGUGGAUGGGGAUGCGUCUGAUUAGCUUGUUGGCGGGGUGACGGCCCACCAAGGCAACGAUCAGUAGGGGUUCUGAGAGGAAGGUCCCCCACAUUGGAACUGAGACACGGUCCAAACUCCUACGGGAGGCAGCAGUGAGGAAUAUUGGUCAAUGGGCGGAAGCCUGAACCAGCCAAGUAGCGUGCAGGAUGACGGCCCUAUGGGUUGUAAACUGCUUUUAUACAGGAAUAAAGUUAGCCACGUGUGGUUAUUUGUAGGUACUGUAUGAAUAAGGACCGGCUAAUUCCGUGCCAGCCGCCGCCGUAA